GGGACUGUUUAAGAAUCCCAACAAAUUACCAGAACCUGGUCCACCUGUCCUCCCGCGCCACCUGCCCACCAAAUGAAUUCCGAGGGGAGGUCACUAAUCAGAAACACACCCACACCCUCGUGACGGGGCCAAGCUGCCAAGCUGACACUUAGCGAGCAAGUACGGACCUCUCCUCGCAGGCUCCGGUGGGAAAGGCUCCUGGAAGGGCGCGAGCCAGGAAAGUAGAUGAAGUGAAGAGAUGAAGACUGCGUGGGGUAGUUGUUGGAAAAGCUCGGAUCAUCCCCAACCCAGCCCCGUCUUGUCCGGCCCCAAAAGGCCCAUCUCGGCCGAGCUACUCACACUUUGUACGGCAGCCGUGGGUCCGACGUCAGCGUGAUCUUAAAGGAAACCUUCGACCUGAGGAAAAGAGCGGGAGAGAGUCAGGGUCGGGCAGCUGGACCAGGAAUUAUGGCAGUCGAUUGAUGUCAGAGUGGGAUUCAAAGUAGAACUUCAGUGACUCCAAGGAGCACCAAGUCACCAAAAGGCCAAAAGAUAAAAACAAGCAAGAAAGCAAACAAAUAAAAGUAACAACAAAAUUUAAGAACCCCUUGCAUGGAAGGAUGCUUAUUUCCUCUGGACUGAAAGAUGGCAUCAGAAGUGGGAUCUAAAGUAAAGCUUCUAACAAUCCCCAUGAGCACUGAGUGACCAAGCAAGGUACACGCCAGGCCUGUUCUGUCUGUUGCUCUCACAGAGGAGCUGGGGAUCGUGGAGGUUCAUGACAGGAUGAAAAGAAACCUGAGAAGCACUCUUGAAGAGAGGUUUCUGAAUAACUUUCGAAUCAUAUCAUUUGGACUGGAUGACAGAAACUUCAUCUGCAUUGGCUUCGGCAAAGCAGAAAUUUAUUAGCUUACAAGGGAGAGUGGAUUGUCAUUGAGACAUAUGUUCUGCUUACGUGGAGAGUAACUUGAGCAACGUUACCCACCUCUAUGUGGAAACACAGGUUUAUUUAAAUGGAACUUCACGGACCUUGGAGAAGCAUACUCCAAACACUACAAAUGAUGGUUAUACUUUGGAGAGAUGCUAAGACAGCAGAUGCUAAAAUCCAGAUACCUUUUGUGAAUAUGAGGCAUAUCUACUGGGAACACAUCAUAAUAAUCUGUUGAGGUAAACAUUAAAGAUGGUGGCAAUAAGCAGUUGGAGAAAAAGAAAAAUAUCAACAUGCAAGGCACCAUUGUUUUCUUGCUUCUUAAUUGUAACUUUUUAUUUUUUGUGUAUAUGGCUAUCACAGAGAUUUAAAAAUUAAUCAUUGAAAAUCAUUAAUAGAAUCGACCUGUGAGCAUCAACACAGAAAUGGAUAAAGAAAAUGUGUUAUAUACACAGUGGGAUACCAUUAAGCCUAAAAAUGAAGGAAAUCUUGUUAUUCACAGCAACAUGGGUGAGCCUGGGGGGGCAUUAUGUUCAGUGAAAUAAGUCAGGCACAGAAAGAUAAAUAUCACCUGUUCUCACUUAUAUGUGAGAGCUUAAAGAAGCUCAGCUUAUAAAAGUAGAGGGUAGAAUUGUUUAGUAUUAGAGGCUUGGAAUGGUAGGGAGGAGAAGAUAGCUAGAAGUUGGUUAACAGACACAAAAUUGUCUAGAUGGAGAGAAAGUUCCAGUGUGCCAUAGCACUGUAGGGUGACUAUAGUUAACCAUAAUCUACCAUAUUUUCCAAUAGCAGGAAGAGAGAACUUUGAAUGUUUGAAGUGCUGGACAUUCUUACUACUCUGAGUUGAUUAUUACACAUUGCACACAUGCAUCAAAACAUCACUCUGUAUCCUACAAAUAUGUACAAUAUUACGUGUUAACUCAAAAUAAGAAAAAAUGAAAUCUUGAUUUAUUAUUAUCUAAUUUCAGUAUUUUACCACUUUCCCCCAAAUGCAAAAGCAAUUUAGUACUAUUUUUCAGCAUCCCAUUGUCUUGUAUUUUACUAUACAUUUUAUGAAUCUGAUACUACAUGUAUUUUUUCCCUAGUAUUGAUUUACAUAUACCUACACACAUCCGUACUUUCACCUGGGAUUCCUUUGUUUUAGUCCUUUAGUAUUCACUUUAGAGAAGAUCUGCAAGUUGUGAAUUCCCUUAGCAUAUGAUUGUCUCUAUUAUAUGCUAAAAGAAUAUGAUAGAAUAAAUAAAAGAAUAUGUUUUUCAUUUUGAAGGAUAUUUUCACAGAGUAUAGAUUUUGAGGGGUUUAUAUUUACUUUUAAUAUUUUAAAGAUAUCAUUCACUUAUCUUCCAGCUUCCAUCGUUUUUGACAAAAAUUUAAACAUCAGUCUUGAUUUUCCUUUGAAGAUACUAUGAUUUUCUAACUGCUUUAAAAUGUUUCCCUUUGUCUUUGAUAUUCAGCAAUUUGACUAGGACAUAUCUAGAUGUGGUCAUCUUUAUAUGUGUCCAAAUGAGUUUCGCUGCGCUUUAUAAACAUGAAUUGAUAAUUUUAUCUGAUUUGAAAAAUUCUAGACAAAUACUUUAUCAAAUAUUGUUCCUAUUCCAUGCUCGUCUCUCUUUCUGAGCAAUAACUAUAAUUCAAACUAUUUUAUCAUGUUCCAAAUAUCUCUUACUUUAUGUUACUGUUUUCUUCCCUGCUUCGGUAUGUAAAAUUUUUAUUGACUUAUCUUUGGGGUCACUAAUUCUUUAUUCUGUUGUACCUAAUUUUUAAUAUUAAAAAUUUUUAAUUUUAAUUUUAAUAUUAAAUUAGUAUUAAAAUUUUAAUAUUAUUUUAAUGUUAUUUUUAUUAAAUAAUAUUAAUAUUUUAAUGUUAUUUUUAUUAAAUAAUAUUAAUAUUUUAAUGUUAUUUUUAUUAAAUAAUAUUAAUAUUUUAAUGUUAUUUUUAUUAAAUAAUAUUAUUUUAAUGCUAUUUUUAUUAAAUAUUAAUAUUUUAAUGUUAUUUUUAUUAAAUAUUUAAUAUUUUAAUAUUUUAAAUUUUAUAAUAUAUAAGUGGAGUUAUUUUGAAUACUUUUUAUUUCAGUUCCAUUAACUAGAUUAUCUCUUGAUCUCCUUUAUAGUUUUUCUCUAAACUUUAGUUACCUACUUUCAGGAUUAUUUUAAACUUUUAUUUUAGGUUCAAGGGUACAUGAACAGGUUUGUUAUCUAGGUAAAUAGCAUGUCAUGAAGUUUUGAGGUAUAGAUUAUUUUGUCACCCAGGUAAUAAGCAUAGUACCCAAUAGGCAGUUUUUCAAUCCUUUCCCCACUCUCACUGUCGUCACUUAAGUAGGCCUUGGUGUCUAACAUUCUCUUCCUUGUGUCCAUGUGUUCUGAAUGGUUAGCUUCCAUUUAUAAAUGAGAACGUGGUAUUUUGUUCUCUGUUUCUACUUUAGUUUGCUUAAGAUAAUGGUCUCCUGCAGCAUACAUGUUUCUGAAAAAGACAUGAUUUCAUGCUUUUUUAUAACUGCAUACUAUUCCAUGGUGUAUAUUUAUCACUUUUUCUUUAUCCAGUGCACUAUUAAUGGUCAUCUAGGUUGAUUCCAUGUCUUUGCAAUUGUAAUUAGUGCUGCAGUGAACUUAUGCAUAAAUGUGUCUUUAUGGUGGAAUGAUUUAUAUUCCUUUCAGUACAUACCCAAUAAUGGAAUUGUUGGAUCAACUGGUCAUUCAUUCUGUGUUAAGUUCUUUGAGAGAUCUCUGAACUGCUUUCUGCAAUGGCUAAACUAAUUUAUGUUCCCAGCAACAGUGUGUAAGUGCUCCCUUUUCUCCACAACCUUAGCUGCAACUGUUAUUUUUUGACUUUUUAAUAAUAGUCCUUCUGACAGGUGUGAGAUGGUAUCUCACUGUGGUUUUGAUUUGCAUUUCUCUAAUGAUUAGUGACAUUAAGAAUUUUUUAUAUGCUUGUUGGUCACAUGUAUGUCUUCUUUUGAGUAGUGUCUUUGCCCACUCUUUAAUGGGGUUGUUUUUUGCUUGUUAAUUUGUUUAAGUUUCUUAUUGAUUCUAGAUAUUACACCUUUUUUGAAUGCAUAGUUUGCAAAUAUUUUUCACCAUUCUACAGGUUGUGUGUUUACUCUAUGUAUUUGUCUAUCCUUGUGUUGCUAUAAAGAACUACCUGAGACUGAGUAAUUUAUAAAGAAAAGAGGUUUAAUUGACUUAUAGUUCUGCAGGCUGUACAGGAAACAUGGCUGGGGAGGUCUCAGGAAACUUACAAUCAUGGUGGAAAGUGAAGAGGAAGAAGACACAUCUUACAUGACAGAAGCAGGAAGAAGAGAGUGAAGGGGUAAGUGCCACACACUUUUAAACCACCAGAUCUCAUAAGAACUCACUGUCAUGAGAACAGCAAGGGGGAUGUUUGCCCCUAUGAUCCAAUCACCUCCCACCAGGCCCCUCCUCCAACACUGAGAAAACUAUAAUUUGACAUGAGAAUUGGGUGGGGACACAGAGUCAAAUCAUAUCAUUCUGUUGGUAGUUUCUUUUGCUGUGCUGAAACUCUUUAAUUAGGUCUCAUGUGUCCGUUUUUUGUUGUUGUUUUUACAAUUGCUUUUUGUAUCUUUGUCAUGAAAUCUUUGCUAGGGCCUAUGCCCAGAAUGCUAUUUCCUAGAUUAUCUUCCAGCAUCUUAAUAGUCUUAUGUUUUACAUUUAAGUCUUCAAUCCAUCUUGAAUUGAUUUGUGUAUAUGGUGUAAGGAAGGGAUCCAGUUUCAAUCUUCUGCAUAUGGCUAGUCAGUUAUCCCACACCAUUUAUCGCAUAGGGACUCCGUUCCCCAUUGCUUGUUUUUGUCAGCUUUGUCAAAGGUAAUCUAAAUGGUUGUAGGCGUGUGGCAUUAUUUCUGAGCUCUCUAUUCUGUUCCAUUGAUUUACAUUUCUAUUUUUGUACCAAACCCAUGAUGUUUGGUUACUGUAGCCUUGUAGUAUAGUUUAAAGUUGGGUAACAGGAUGCUUCUAGCAUUUUUCUUUUUGCUUACUAUUGCCUGCUAUUUGGGAUCUUUUUUGGUUCUACAUGAAUUUUAAAAUAGUUUUUUUUUUCUAGUUCUGUGAAAAAUGUCAUUAGUAGUUUGAUAGGAAAAGCAUUGAGUCUGUAAAUUGCUCUGGACAUUAUGGCCAUUUUAACAAUAUUGAUGCUUCUUAUCCAUAAGCAUGGGGGGAUUUUCCAUUUGUUUGCAUCAUCUCUGAUUUAUUUGAGCAGUGUUUUGUAAUUCUCAUUGUAAACACGUUUCACCUCCCUGCGUAGCUAUAUUCCUGGGUAUUUUAUUGUUUUUAUGGCCAUUGUGAAUGCGAUUGUGUUCUUGAUUUGGCUCUCAGCUUGGAUAUUGUUGCUAUAUAGGAAUGCUACUUUUUGAACACUAAUUUUGAAUUCUGAAACAUUGCUGAAAUUGUUUAUCAAAUCAAGGAGGUUUUGGGUAGGGACUAUUUGGUUUUCUAGGUAUAGAAUCAUAUCGUCUGCAAAAGGGGAUUAUUUGACUUUCUAUUAUCCCAUUUGGAUGCUUUUUUUUCUUUUCUUUUGGCCAAUUAUUCUGCUUAGGACUUCCAGUAGUAUGUUUAAUAAAAAUAAUAAGAGAGGGCAUUCUUGUCUUGUUUUAGUUUUCAAGCGGAAUGCUUCCAGCUUUUGCCCAUUCUGGAUGAUGUUGGCUGUGAAUUUUUCAUAAAUGGCUCUUAUUAUUUGAGUAUGUGCCUUUGAUGCUUACUUUGUUGAGAGUUUUUAACAUGAAGGGACAUUGAAUUUUAUCAAAAGCCCUUUCUGCAUCUAUUGAGAUGAUCAUGUGAUUUUUGUUUCUAGUUUUGUUUAUAUAAUGAAUUACAUUGAUUGAUUUGCCUCUAUGGAACCAAUUCUUGCCUCCCAAGAAUAAAGCUUAAGAGAUUGUGGUCAUUUAGCUUUUCAAUGUGCUGCUGAAUUCAGUUUGCUAAUAUUUUGUUGAGGAUUUUUACAUCUUUGUUCAUCAGGAAUAUUGGCUUGUAGUUUUCUUUAUUGUUGUUUGUCUGCCAAGUUUUGGUAUCAGAAGGAUGCUGGGCUCAUAGAAUGAAUUAGAGAGGAAUUCUUCCUCCUAAAUGUUUUGGAAUAUUCACAGUAGGGAUUAUACCAGGUCUUCUUAAUAUGUCUGGUAGAAUUCAUCUGUGAAUCCAUCUGGUCCUGGGAUUUUUCUGGUUGGUAGGCUUUUUAUUACUGAUUAAAUUUCAGAACUCAUUAUUGGUCUGUUCAGGGUUUUAAUUUCUUCUUGGUGCAAUAUUGGGAGGUUGUAUGUUUUCAGGAAUUUAUCAGUUUCUUCUAGGUUUUCUAUGUCGUGUGCAUUUAGGUGUUCACAGUAGUUUCUAGGGGCUUUUUGUAUUUUUGUAGGGUUAGUGGUAGUGUUCACCUUUGUCAUUUCUGAUUUUGUUUAUUUGGAUCUUCCCCCUUUUUUCUUUAUUAUUCUGACUAGGGGUCUAUCUAUCUAAUCUAUUCCUUCAAAGGAUCAAUUCUUAUAUUUGUUGAACUUUUGUACAGUUUUCUGCUUCUCAAUAUCCUUCCAUUCAGCUUUGAUUUUUGUUAAUCCUUGUCUUCUGCUAGCUUUGAGGUUGCUUGCUCUGAUUUCUCUAGUUCUUCUAAGUGUGCUGUGAGAUUAUUAAUUGGAGGUCUUUCUAACUUUUUGAUGUGGCAUUUAGCAGUAUAAACACCCCUCUUAAUGCUGUUUUUACUGUGUCUCAGAGAUUCUGGUAUGUUGUAUCUUUAUUCUUCUUAACUUCAAAAAAUUUCUUGAUUUCUGCUUUGACUUUAUUGUUUAUACAAAGGUCAUUCAAAAGCAGGGCUUUUAAAAAUUUCCAUGUAAUUUUAUGGUUUUGAGGGUUUUUUAAGUAAUAAUUUCUAUUUUUAUUGUGCUGUGGUUUGAGAGUGUGAUUUGUAUGAUUUUGUUUUUGUUUGUUUGUUUUUGAUUUCCUGAGGAUUAUUUUAUGGCUAAUUGUGUUUUCUCUUUUGCAGUGUGUGCUCUGUGCAGAUGAGUAGAAUAUAUAUUCUGGUGUUGUUUGGUGGAGAGUUCUACAGAUGUGUAUUGAGUCCAUUUGGUCAAUGUUGAGUUUGAAUCCUGGAUAUUUUUGUGAGUUUUCUGCCUCAGUGAUCUGUGUAAUAUACUGUCUGUGGGGUGUUGAAGUCUACUACUAUUAUUGUCCAGUUAUCUACAUCUCUUCAUAGGUCUCUAAGAACUUGCUUUAUGAAUCUGGAUUCUCCUGUGUUGGAUGCAUAUAUAUUUACAAUAGUAACAUCUUUCUGUUGUAUUGAACCCUUUACUAUUCUGUAAUGUCUUCCUUUGUCUUUCUUGAUCAUUGUUGGUUUAAAGUCUGUUUUGACUGAAAUUCGACUGUCAACCCCAGCUAUUUUCUGUUUUCCAUUGGCUUGGUAGAUUUUUCUUCAUCCCUUUACUUUAAGCCUAUGGAUCCAUGUGAGAUAUGUCUGUUGAAGACAGCAUACAGUUGGAUCAUGC
rnacentral:lncRNA from 10 species